rnacentral:rRNA from 1 species
UACGAACUGUGCAAACGUUAUUCGGAAUCACUGGGCUUAAAGGGUGCGUAGGCGGCUAUUUAAGUAGGGUGUGAAAGCCCCCGGCUCAACCGGGGGAAUUGCGUCCUAAACUGGAUAGCUCGAGUGAGAUAGAGGUGUGCGGAACUUCCGGUGGAGCGGUGAAAUGUGUUGAUAUCGGAAGGAACGCCGGUGGCGAAAGCGGCACACUGGGUCUCAACUGACGCUGAGGCACGAAAGCCAGGGGAGCGAACGGGG